rnacentral:rRNA from 1 species
UGGGGAAUAUUGCACAAUGGGGGAAACCCUGAUGCAGCGACGCCGCGUGAACGAAGAAGGUAUUCGUAUCGUAAAGUUCUGUCCUAUGGGAAGAUAAUGACAGUACCAUAGAAGAAAGCUCCGGCUAAAUACGUGCCAGCAGCCGCGGUAAUACGUAUGGAGCGAGCGUUGUCCGGAAUUAUUGGGCGUAAAGGGUACGCAGGCGGUUUAAUAAGUCGAAUGUUAAAGAUCGGGGCUCAACCCCGCAAAGCAUUGGAAACUGAUAAACUUGAGUAGUGGAGAGGAAAGUGGAAUUCUUAGUGUAGUGGUGAAAUACGUAGAUAUUAGGAGGAAUACCAGUAGCGAAGGCGACUUUCUGGACACAAACUGACGCUGAGGUACGAAAGCGUGGGGAGCAAACAGG